GUUCAAAAAGAAACGUCUCGUUUUCAUUCCAUGGAAGAGAACUCCAUACACAGGCAGAUCAAGACAGGAGAGAUUCCCAAAAUUUAGGAGUGUGUUUCAUCUUCACAGAACCAACUGAAAUCUACAGCAUUAGAUUUAGAUCACCAUAAGAGAGAAGCAGAAGUAGUAGAGAAACAAUCUGUAAAUAUAGUGAGUGAGUAAGGGAGAGAGAUGGGUUUGGGAAUGGCGAUUUACGAGGGUGUGGUGAUGGUUGGGUCGCUUUGCCUGUUGGGCUGGGCGGGGCUUUGGUUCUUGAACCAGAGACUCUAUAAAGAGUAUGAAGAGAAGAGAGUGUUAGUUCAAAUCAUAUUCAGCGUCGUUUUUGCUUUCUCUUGCAAUCUUCUCCAGCUCGUUCUCUUCGAGAUCAUCCCUCUCCUCUCCAAAGAGUCAAGAUGGACUAACUGGAAGGUGGAUCUGUUUUGUUUGAUGUUGUUAUUGGUGUUCAUGCUACCUUAUUAUCACUGCUACUUAAUGCUUUGUAACAAUGGUGUAAGGAAGGAACGAGCUGCACUUGGGGCCAUCUUGUUCUUGCUGGCCUUCCUUUAUGCUUUUUGGCGCAUGGGCAUUCACUUCCCAAUGCCUUCACCUGAUAAAGGUUUCUUUACCAUGCCUCAGCUAGUCAGCAGAAUUGGGGUCAUUGGUGUGACUGUCACGGCUGUUUUAUCUGGUUUUGGAGCUGUGAAUUUACCAUACAGUUAUUUGUCCCUCUUUAUUAGAGAAAUUGAGGAAUCAGAGAUCAAGGCUUUGGAAAGGCAAUUAAUGCAAUCGAUUGAGACUUGUAUUGCAAAGAAAAAGAAAAUUAUUCUUUCUCAAAUGGAGAUGGAACGAAUUCAAGGAUCAGAGGAGGUUUCUUUCUUUUAUGUUAUUGCAAUGUCUUUGAUUCAACAUUUUUUGGGUGUGAAACACUUUUUAGCCAAACUAUGCUUUUCAUGAGAUUUUUGAUACCAAUACUUAUUUUAAUACGUGAUUCAUGAUUUUUUUCAGAUGUGAUGUUCCAUUAUUGUCAUAGUAUCAUUCACAUAGUAUGGAAUUGUGCUCCUGAUAUACAUAUUUUACCAUGUAUCACAUGAUAUACUUUUAUGAUAGAAGUGAAUUUAGAGAAAUAUGAGGAAAAGUAUCUAAUGAGGAAAAGUAUCUAACUUUUGCGUGGUUUUGUUAUAGAAAUCAAUGGUUGGUUGCACCAAAAAAUUGUGAUGAAGGCUUAGACUAUCUGAUUGUUUUUACUGCACGAAUCUCUUUUUCUCCAUUGUGCUUUUUUUAGGACAAAGUUAUGUGCUAUUGUCAUACCAAAUUAUCUUCUACCAUUUCAAUCCAUACUAUUUUUUGUCUAUUAUUCCUGUUACUUGAAUUCGCCUGUUCUUCCAUAUCUGACUGUGGAUGCUUGUUGGACAUGGCUAAGCAAUCUCAAACAACCUUUAACUUAUCUUGAGCGGGUACCAUGCUGUCUUCCUCUGAGUGGAUCCAUUUUCCAAUCUAAUUCUUCUCAAUGUUUCCAUAUAUCUUUCUUAGGAUUUGCACUUUAGGUCCAUUCAUGCAUUUUAUUGAAUACUUGCUCCUUGUAUCAAAUGCUAAAAGUUGGGCUAGAAAAUAAACACACAUAAAUUAGAACAUUUUAUGCAGAAUAGAAAAAAUAAAAAAGUGUUAUAUCAGAAAAUUCCUGAACUUUUCGGUCCUAAUGAGCGAAGAUGGUAAGGCAAUAACUAGCUUAGUGAUUUUGAAAAGUAUGUCUUUGAACAAUCUUAAGAAACCCCCUAUCGAAGAGGCCAUAUCUGGUUACCAUUGUCUUUUAUGGUGUUAACUUAUAUAGAGUCUACUGUCAGUAGAAAGUAGAAACCCUAAAAAUGUUCAAUCGAUACAUUUUAAGAUUUAAGAGGUAGUUUAACUGAUUCUUCAUAUUCUCAAAACUUUUUGCUUCUUUUAGUUUUUAUUUUUUUUUCCAAAACCAACAGUUGCUAUCUUUAUUGAUAUUUCAAAUCCCAAUUAAUUGAUAUCGCUCUCUUGAGGUUAUGUAUUGCAGAAUCUAAAGGCCAGAUCUUUCUUUAAACGAAUAGUUGGAACAGUUGUACGA
rnacentral:misc_RNA from 1 species